rnacentral:miRNA from 1 species
GGCAUCUUGUUAAAAUGCAGAUUAUGAUUCAGUAGUUCUGGGGUGAGGCCUGAAAGUCUGCAUUUCUAACAAGUUC